rnacentral:misc_RNA from 1 species
GACGAAGAACGUAGUGAAAUGCGAUAAGUAAUGUGAAUUGCAGAAUUCAGUGAAUCAUCGAAUCUUUGAACGCACAUUGCGCCCGCCAGUAUUCUGGCGGGCAUGCCUGUUCGAGCGUCAUUUCAACCCUCAAGACCCCUUCGGGGGACUUGGUGUUGGGGACCGGCACAGGGGCCUGCCUGCUUGUCUUGCAGCGCCCUCGCCGCCCCCGAAAUGAAUUGGCGGCCUCGUCGCGGCCUCCCCUGCGUAGUAGCACAACCUCGCAACGGGAACGUGACGGCGGCCACUGCCGUAAAACAACCCAAUUUUAUUAGAGUUGACCUCGAAUCAGGUAGGAAUACCCGCUGAACUUAAGCAUAUCAAUAAGCGGAGGA